GGUUGGCCUGGAUGAGUCUCCUACCUACGUGGCCCCUGGGCAUACUGGCUUCUGCUUUCUACUGAUUAUUCUGAACAAGGGACCAUACUACUGUGAAACCAUAUACUGAAAACUGCUGUACUUGCUGGACAGGGCUUGCUACAUUGCACAAGAGCUACAAACAGGAUGUAUUCACAGGACUUCAUAAGCAGAUAUACUUGCUUAUUCCAGGUGCAAGAUAGGAAUGAGAACUGUACAGCAGGAGCAGAAUUGCCUCCAGUCAGAGGAGAGAUUCUUCCUGUGUGAUGGUGACGGAUCCUGUUCUGGAGUGGACUGCUCUUUCAUAAGGGUAAAAGGCCACGGAGUUAUGCAUAUGGGAUGGAUGGCAACUGCUGCCCAGUCUGGUUGCGCAACAGAAGCAAGCUGUAGGGAUGAGUUACAUGGUAGCACCCUUUCCUGUCCUGCCACAAAGAAGCAGACCAAGCUGCCAGUCUAGUUGUCCCUUGGCACAUCAGCCACCCUACUUUCCUGAGAUCACUAAUAAUCGGGGCUCCCUCACCUGCGAUUCCAUACGGUGCCCAAUCUGCAUAUGCCGCAACCGGUUCAAAUUCGGGAAAUUUGCAUGAGAGUAAAGAUCUAUUUCAAGUCCUGUUGUUCCCCUAGUCUGUCCAUUUGGGACUGCCUGGACACAUGGA